rnacentral:rRNA from 1 species
UACGAAGGGGGCUAGCGUUGCUCGGAAUCACUGGGCGUAAAGGGUGCGUAGGCGGGUUUUUAAGUCAGGGGUGAAAUCCUGGAGCUCAACUCCAGAACUGCCUUUGAUACUGAAAAUCUUGAGUCCGGGAGAGGUGAGUGGAACUGCGAGUGUAGAGGUGAAAUUCGUAGAUAUUCGCAAGAACACCAGUGGCGAAGGCGGCUCACUGGCCCGGUACUGACGCUGAGGCACGAAAGCGUGGGGAGCGAACAGG